CCGAUCAGAUUGACAGAGAACAGUGCUGGACGGCGGAAGUUUCGGUAUGGUGGGACAUGGAAUAAUGCCAACUUCCCAACGAUUUAGAACUAAACUUCAUUGCAAUGAAUAUCAAAUCCGCCCUUAUCCGCACGAACUAUAUUGGCCCCCUUUCCAUCUUUGCCUAGGGCGACACCACGCUCAUCCCCCUCACUGUACAAUGCGCUCUCGCCGCCACCGGAGUCUCCCUCAUCCAUAUGUCGCACGCAACCGAGCCUUUUGUUACAGCAAAUUAGAGCUGCACAAGCACGUGAUCAAGGACUGUGACAGAGCUCUUCAGCUUGACCCUGCGUUUCAUCAACCUCAUAUUCUCAAAGGUCCCAAACACAACCACAAUCCCAUCACUACCAUUAACCUCUCCCAUUCUUCUCCAUCAAACACCAAACCACCACCACAACCAGACAAGAAGAAGAAAGAAGCAAGUACAGGUUCGAUGAAGGAGAAGUGACGACCUCACAGCCGGCGCCGGCGAGAUGAUGCCACCAACCUUCUCGUCGCUUCUUAUUCAGAUCCUCCACCGCGGCGGCGCAAGGCCGAGCCUAGACGGCGAGAGGGUUCUUACCAACUUAUUUGAGAUCUGUGGCCUCCCAUAGAUCCAGGAUCUAAAUCCCUAAUCUUCUCUCCUCUUCAUUCGGAUAGAUCUAUGGAAGACGGUGGAGAGGACGGUGGCUGGGCCAAGCUCCUCGCCAGAAAAAAAUGGCAGAUGGUGGGGCGGUGGGAUAGGACAGUGGCUGUGGGAGGAGAUUGUGAGGGAGAGAGGGAGGAGGCUGUGGGGAAAAUAUAAUUUUGGAAGAUUGUUGACCUAAACUAGAUAUCAUUAAUAUUAGUGGGGAAAAAGUGAAAAUUUUUCUUUUUUUAAAAAUAAAAAUGGAAAAACCAGGAAAACCCACUACUACAGGUCAGAUAUGGCUUGUGCACAUUUACACAAGUAAAAACUUGUGCACCAUAGGGGGAUCCAUCGAUAUAGUUGUUAGUUAGGAUUUAGGAUUUAGGAAUUGUAUCUGUUUUUCGAUCUGAGUGGUGUGUGCAUCCGCAAUUCAAUUCUCUCUGUUAUUAGUUGGCUGAUCGAAUCUCAUGUUCACUGAUUUGUUCAAUUGAUAUCUCAACAGUUGAGAAGUUGAAACCCUAAAUUUUUAUUAAUUACUGAUAUUUCUCAUAUACUUGGUCAUAGGUGUGAGAGACGGAAGUCCCACGACGCUCUUUAAUGACAUGAUGUAAUGGUCAAUGGACAAUCCCGCACCUGCUAAUUACUUAUUAAUUUCGGGUGAUGAAUACUUAUCUGACUUUCUCCUUGAUUUGGGGAUGAAGAGAUAUAAUGUUCUUCUUGCACGGGAGCACAAUCUACAUCCCUGGUUGCAGCUGCCAAGAAUGUAUGGCUCUGGACUAGUCUCGUAGUUGCAGGACUUCCUUAUGAUGUCUUCAGCCCAGACGACGAAAGCUGGCGAUGUGAGCAGAUGCUACUCCAUGUGGAAGAACGAUGGAAGACUCGAAAAAUAGAGUUGGGUGUGAGGCUAGAGCCUUUGGGUAGAAUAGCUUACCGUUAUUGGUUUAAGCUUGUAGGAUAAUUUUAUGAUUUGUAUUUGAGAUUUUGGGUAGGUUCCGGUGCAUUGCUUUCCUAUGGUUACCCAGUGUGGAAAUCAUAGGGAGUAUAUCGGAUCUAUGGAGUCAUUGCAUAGUGGGUCCGUUGUUAGAUCUUAUUUUAUUUGUCCUGUCUUUUAUGUUGUGCCUUGGUCAAGGCCAGAUGUAAAUUAUUUAUGGUUGGGAGCAUGCAUUACAUAUUUUAGAAAUGCUUCGAAAACGAAAAAAAAUACUCACAUUUAUAAAUCCAGUUUGGAAAAUAUUGCAUCUUUACUUUAACAUGA